rnacentral:rRNA from 1 species
AUGUGGCGUCUACGAAGCACUACACCUAGCUUGCUUGCUGGCGCGCGCGUGCGUGCUUCGAUGCACGACGCUUCAUCGAGCUGGCUGGACCACGGCAAUCUCCAGAGCAGGAGCCGGAGGAGGCGACGAGAUGCUACUGCUGCAGCUGCAUCCUCGGAGGCAGCAGCUGCCCCUCGCCGACCUCACCAACCUCCGGCGUCCGCCAUGAGCUCAGCGCAGGACCCCUUCUACAUCGUCCAGGAGGAGAUCCAGGGAUGGAUCGGUAAGCUGCAGACUACGUUCCAUCGCUGGGAGCAAGUUUCUUCAAACAACGGAGAAUAUGUCCAUCGGACAAUAUCAUCGCUGGCAGCAAGUUUCUUCAAACCUGAUUACUUUGUCAUCAGGCAGGCUGAUUGCAUCCAACUCAAAGAGUUCCACAUUUCUAACUUGAGGGUUCCACUUGCACAUGAUGGCCCCACAACUCCUUAUGGAAAGAAGCUUCCUGCAGCUGACAACAAGAUGCUGGCCUUCAUUCUUCAAUAG